GAUGAACGCUAGCUACAGGCUUAACACAUGCAAGUCGAGGGGCAGCAGGGAUUUAGCUUGCUAAAUUCGCUGGCGACCGGCGCACGGGUGCGUAACGCGUAUCCAACUUUCCCGUUACUCUCGGAUAGCCUUCCGAAAGGGAGAUUAAUACGAGAUGGUGUUCUAAUUCCGCAUGUUAUUAGAACUAAAGAUUCAUCGGUAACGGAUAGGGAUGCGUGACAUUAGAUAGUUGGCGGGGUAACGGCCCACCAAGUCUACGAUGUCUAGGGGUUCUGAGAGGAAGGUCCCCCACACUGGAACUGAGACACGGUCCAGACUCCUACGGGAGGCAGCAGUGAGGAAUAUUGGUCAAUGGACGGAAGUCUGAACCAGCCAAGUAGCGUGCAGGAUGACGGCCCUAUGGGUUGUAAACUGCUUUUGUUCGGGAAUAAAGUGCAGUACGCGUACUGUUUUGUAUGUACCGUUCGAAUAAGCAUCGGCUAAUUCCGUG
rnacentral:rRNA from 1 species